GGCAACCUACGGGGCGCAGCAGUGGGGAAUAUUGGGCAAUGGGCGCAAGCCUGACCCAGCAACGCCGCGUGAAGGAAGAAGGCUUUCGGGUUGUAAACUUCUUUUGUCAGGGACGAAGCAAGUGACGGUACCUGAAGAACAAGCCCCGGCUAACUACGUGCCAGCAGCCGCGGUAAAACGUAGGGGGCGAGCGUUGUCCGGAAUGACUGGGCGUAAAGGGUGCGUAGGCGGCAUAAUAAGUUAGAAGUGAAAUACCCAGAGCUUAACUCGGGUGCUGCUUCUAAGACUGUUGAGCUUGAGUGCGG
rnacentral:rRNA from 1 species